UACCUCUGAUUUGCGUAAGAGGUUGAAAAACUUGCAGAUUGUGUGUUGUCAUCAGCUUUGUCUCGUCUCCUAUGAGAUACGAGUUAAAUAACGGCACGAGAUUC
rnacentral:snoRNA from 1 species